rnacentral:rRNA from 1 species
UACGUAGGCAGCGAGCGUUGUUCGGAAUUACUGGGCGUAAAGAGUGUGUAGGUGGUGCUCUAAGUUUGGUGUGAAAUCUCCCGGCUCAACCGGGAGGGUGCAUCGAAAACUGGAAUGCUAGAGGAUGGGAGAGGCAAGCGGAAUUCCUGGUGUAGCGGUGAAAUGCGUAGAUAUCAGGAGGAACACCUGUGGUGUAGACAGCUUGCUGGACCAUUUCUGACACUGAGACACGAAAGCGUGGGUAGCAAACAGG